GAUGAACGCUGGCGGCGUGCCUAAUACAUGCAAGUCGAGCGAAUGGAUUAAGAGCUUGCUCUUAUGAAGUUAGCGGCGGACGGGUGAGUAACACGUGGGUAACCUGCCCAUAAGACUGGGAUAACUCCGGGAAACCGGGGCUAAUACCGGAUAACAUUUUGAACCGCAUGGUUCGAAAUUGAAAGGCGGCUUCGGCUGUCACUUAUGGAUGGACCCGCGUCGCAUUAGCUAGUUGGUGAGGUAACGGCUCACCAAGGCAACGAUGCGUAGCCGACCUGGGAGGGUGAUCGGCCACACUGGGACUGAGACACGGCCCAGACUCCUACGGGAGGCAGCAGUAGGGAGUCUUCCGCAAUGGACGAAAGUCUGACGGAGCAACGCCACGUGAGUGAUGAAGGCUUUCGGGUCGUAAAACUCUGUUGUUAGGGAAGAACAAGUGCUAGUUGAAUAAGCUGGCACCUUGACGGUACCUAACCAGAAAGCCACGGCUAACUACGUGCCAGCCGCCGCAGUAA
rnacentral:rRNA from 1 species